UACGGAGGGUGCAAGCGUUAUCCGGAUUCACUGGGUUUAAAGGGUGCGUAGGUGGGUCUGUAAGUCAGUGGUGAAAUCUCCGAGCUUAACUCGGAAACUGCCAUUGAUACUAUAGGUCUUGAAUUAUCUGGAGGUGAGCGGAAUAUGUCAUGUAGCGGUGAAAUGCUUAGAUAUGACAUAGAACACCGAUUGCGAAGGCAGCUAACUAAGCCAUAACUGACGCUGAUGCACGAAAGCGUGGGGAGCAAACAGG
rnacentral:rRNA from 1 species